rnacentral:lncRNA from 1 species
CUUUAGAGGACUACUGCUUAUGGGAAGGAUCUGACAAAGUUAGAUGAGCCUGGAGUUCUCAGGGCUUUAUUUUCCUGCAUGUGAACUCCACUCAAAAGUGUACAGGAAAGUGGCAUUUGAGAUUGAAGAGUGGCAGAGUUCUUCAGAAAAUUGCUAAGUCUCACACUGCUGAAGAUGGGCUGUGAUUUCUUGGAUGUGUUAAUGUACUCUCAGAGCAGUAAGCACAUACAGGAGCGAGAACUGCAGCACAAAGGAAGGGUUUGUGCUGGCACAGCCCUGUCCAUCCCCUCUGCUUGCACACUGCUGGCCC